GAGAGAGAGAGAGAGAGAGCGAGGAUAAUGCGGAAAAAAUUCAAAAGUUAGAGGUCCCUAAUUGAAGAAUAGUGGAGAGACAAGACUAGUUGGAGGGACAAUGGAAACCCUAUUUGUUGUAUUCUUCUCUUUUCUUUUCUUUUCUAUUUUCCCCCUUUUUUUUUUGGGUAGAAUUCUCUUGCUCCUUUGAUGUUAUUUUCAAUUGAAAACAUCAAAACACCUAUACCCCUUGUUUGGAUUCAAUUGAGUUCUUUUUGGCUAAUUCUCAUAUUUGGGAUGAAAUAAUUCAAUUCUUUUUAACUUAACAAAAUUUUCAUUUUAGAAGGAAAUAGAAAUCAAGUAUGAUUUUGUGAGAAUUCAAUUUAAUUCUUUUCUUG
rnacentral:misc_RNA from 1 species